UAAUUUCAGCCAUGGUGCCGGCUGGCUGCA
rnacentral:piRNA from 1 species